UUGUUUUAGGGAUGAACAAGUCCAUGAUAAUUGAAUUCUUUCAUCUCUUUGUCAUCAUCGCAGUGUUUGUGUUUUGCUGACCAUUAUCUGAUGGUACAAUU
rfam:Capsicum annuum cultivar Zunla-1 chromosome 7, whole genome shotgun sequence